GGGAGUGUGGUUCAGUGGUAGAGCAUUUGCCUGGCAUAUGUGAGGUCCUGGGUUUGAUCCCCAGCACUGCAA
rnacentral:tRNA from 1 species